rnacentral:rRNA from 1 species
UAUUGCUCUUCAACGAGGAAUCCCUAGUAAGCACAAGUCAUCAGCUUGUGUUGAUUACGUCCCUGCCCUUUGUACACACCGCCCGUCGCUACUACCGAUUGAAUGGCUUAGUGAGACCUCCGGAUUGGCAUUCAGAAGUUGGAAACAACAUCUGUCUGCUGAGAAAUUGUUCAAACUUGGUCAUUUAGAGGAAGUAAAAGUCGUAACAAGGUUUCCGUAGGUGAACCUGCGGAAGGAUCAUUACCAAUCUUAGCGGGCCUGGUCUUUGUCGACCAUGGUUUCGCGAAAAUCGUAUUUAAAACCCCACUCUUAUAUAAGAUGAAUCAUUUUAUUUGUAAUAAUAAAUAAAGAUCACUUUCAACAACGGAUCUCUUGGCUCUCGCAUCGAUGAAGAACGUAGCGAAGUGCGAUAAGUAGUGUGAAUUGCAGAAUUCCGUGAAUCAUCGAGUCUUUGAACGCAAAUUGCACUCCCUGGCAUCCCGGGGAGUAUGCCUGUUUGAGGGUCAGUAAAAUUAAAAUCGGUACGUUGCAUUUUUUUGUAACGUCUCCGGAGUUUGGGUUAUCUUAGCUCUGAGGUUAAGAGGCUUAAAAUUGACAUCAUUUCGCGCACUUUUAGACGUACAUAAAUUAAUUUUUAUUCGUCUAACCUGGUGCCCGAAGGUUAUUAGAUGCGACCAUAUUUCGUGGUCUCGUGUCUAUAAUUUUAUCAUGAUUUGACCUCAAAUCAGGUAGGAGUACCCGCUGAACUUAAGCAUAUCAAUAAGCGGAGGAAAAGAAAAUAACAAUGAUUCCCCUAGUAACUGCGAGUGAAGAGGGACAAGCUCAAAUUUUAAAUCUGUUAGGUUUACCUAACCGAGUUGUAAUUUGAAGAGGCGUUUUCUGUGUUUCUGACCAGCCCAAGUCCUUUGGGAUAGGGCAUCAUGGAGGGUGAGAAUCCCGUUCGGUUGAUCAGAUUCGCUUUACGAUACGUCAUCUAAGAGUCAAGUUGUUUGGGAUUGCAGCUUAAAAUGGGAGGUAAAUUUCUCCUAAGGCUAAAUAACGGCGAGAGACCGAUAGCGAACAAGUACCGUGAGGGAAAGAUGAAAAGAACUUUGAAAAGAGAGUUAAACAGUACGUGAAAUUGUUGAAAGGGAAACGAUUGAAGCCAGUCGUACCGGCGGGUAAUCAGCCUUUCGGGUAUGAUUCUGUGGAGUGUGAGGAGCUAAACACCUUCAUGCCUGCAUAUUCGUGCUCUUGGGUGUACUUGCUCGUGUGGUGGGUUAACAUCAAUUUCGGAUACCAUAAAAUGGCUGGAGGAAUGUAGCUUCGAUCUCGUAUUGAAGUGUUAUAGCCUUCGGUAGAUGUGGUGAUCGGGAUUGAGGAUUGCAACGGAUACCCUUCGGGGCUACCUGUCUGAUCUCUGAUCGUUGCUCUGGUGCCGAAAGCGUGCUUACGGUUAUCAAAGUCGAUGGUCAAUAGGUUAGAACGGGUUAAAUUCGUUAAGGAUGUUGACGUAAUGGCUUUAAACGACCCGUCUUGAAACACGGACCAAGGAGUCUAACAUGUAUGCGAGUGUU